rnacentral:rRNA from 1 species
CGGCGUGCCUAACACAUGCAAGGUCGAGCGAUGAAAUCCUUCGGGAUGGAUUAGCGGCGGACGGGUGAGUAACACGUGGGUACCUGCCUUGUAGAGGGGAUAGCCUUCCGAAAGGAAGAUUAAUACCGCAUAACAUCUUUUUAUCGCAUGGUAGAAAGAUCAAAGGAGCAAUCCGCUACAAGAUGGACCCGCGGCGCAUUAGCUAGUUGGUGAGGUAACGGCUCACCAAGGCGACGAUGCGUAGCCGACCUGAGAGGGUGAUCGGCCACAUUGGAACUGAGACACGGUCCAGACUCCUACGGGAGGCAGCAGUGGGGAAUAUUGCGCAAUGGGGGGAAAAACCCCUGACGCAGCAACGCCGCGUGAAUGAAGAAGGCCUUAGGGUUGUAAAGUUCUGUUUACGGGGACGAUAAUGACGGUACCCGUGGAGGAAGCCACGGCUAACUACGUGCCAGCCGCUGC